rnacentral:rRNA from 1 species
UACAUGUUUUAGGGUUGGAAAGUCGUCUUUGCCUUGACCGUUUUUGAAACCAGUCGAUCCAGCGACGACUAUGUUCAAGAGUGGCCUCAUCCCCAGCGGCCUCGCGCUCUCGCCGGCGCCCCCACCUCCUCUCCCCGCAGCGCCGCCGGCCCCACCUCCUCCCCGCCACCACCUCCUCUCCCGCGCCCCCGCCGGCCCCACCUCCUCCGCCACGGCCUCACCGCCCCGUCGGCGCUAGUAGGGAGGGAACACGGUGGCGGUGGAGGGGGUCGGGGUUGGGUCGCUGGGCCGGGGCUGGAGUCGUUGGUGGCGGGAGGAGACCGAGCGCGGCGUAAUGGUAGGCAGAUACGUUUAGAUGUGUUCUUUCCGUAUUUGGAAUACAUAGAAACGUUCGUAAAUGUAUAACCGUUCCGGCUACCACUCUUCACAUUCAUGGACUCACUACGACAAAGCACCUUAUACGGGUCGGUGCACCUUCGUUGUUGAGAUAAAGUUCCGACACAGCACGUCCAAGACUAGUACGUUGACCGAAUGGUCAUGUGGCGGUUCCCCCGUACGGAACGGGACCAUCGUUCCUCCCUCACCUCGGACACCGUCCAGCGGCUGGCGCGGAAGCUCGAGCCGCGCGUCCUGCACUAGUAAGAGGGGCCCCUGUAGCGUCUGGGGCUGCUGAUGUUGUCUAAACAAGUCCGGUGUUAGCUGGUCAUGUCGGUUACAUUCAGUCGGGGAGAGGCAAUGUUGAUU